rnacentral:rRNA from 1 species
GACGAACCGUGCGAACGUUAUUCGGAAUCACUGGGCUUAAAGGGCGCGUAGGCGGUCUCGUAAGUCAGGGGUGAAAUCCCACGGCCCAACCGUGGAAGUGCCUCUGAUACUGCCGGCCUCGAGGGGGAUAGGGGCGUGCGGAACUCAGGGUGGAGCGGUGAAAUGCGUAGAUAUCCUGAGGAACACCGGUGGCGAAAGCGGCGCGCUGGAUCCCUUCUGACGCUGAGGCGCGAAAGCCAGGGGAGCAAACGGG